rnacentral:snRNA from 1 species
GUGCUUGCCUUAAGAGCACAUAUACUAAAAUCAGAAAGACACAAAGAUUAAUGCAGCUUCUGCACAAGGAUGGCAUGCAAGUUCUCAGUGUUACACUCACAGUGA